UACGGGGGGGGGCAAGCGUUUGUUCGGAAUUACUGGGCGUAAAGGGUUCGUAGGUGGCUUGCUUAGUCAGACGUGAAAUCCCUCAGCUCAACUGGGGAACUGCGUCUGAUACUGGCGAGCUUGAGUGCAGGAGAGGAACGCGGAAUUCCAGGUGUAGCGGUGAAAUGCGUAGAUAUCGGAAGGAACAUCAGUGGCGAAAGCGACUUCCUGGACCAAUACUGACGCUCAUGUGCGAAAGCGUGGGGAGCAAACAGG
rnacentral:rRNA from 1 species